AUGCGCCUUCAUCAGACAAGAUCCAAUUUCUUCAAAAUUGGAAUCGGCGAGUCAAGGUUUUGUCAUAAGAUGCAACUUACAUUCUUCAAUCAUCCUGCUGUUUGGAUCACAAUUUUUGAUCCCGGUGGAGCUUCAACAUUAGAUGAUGGAGCUUUUUUCGCGCAUUUGUUUUCAGAUCGAUCUAAAGAGGAUUCACAUUUCCGCCCCCAUUACUGUACUUGUGCUGCCAUUCAUGAUUUAAUUGCAGAAUUGAGGUUCCUUAAUGGAUUCACGAAGUAA